rnacentral:lncRNA from 1 species
AGACAUCUGGGCUGCUAGCUGCAUGAAGGAGCUACCCGCUGUGGGUCUCCUCUUUGCUGACAGCUGGACACUUGACAGAAUGACCUGCCUGAACUCGGGACCUGCAGAAUGAUGGGACUGAAGAAGCUGUAACACAAACAGGGCUAAAACACGCACUCUCCUCCCCCUGCUCCCCACCGCCCCACCCACUUGCCACAUUGGAGGUGAUGAGAAGGAGAGAAGAGCUGUGGCCUUUCAGGGAGCAUAGUCCCAGGGGCUCCCUGAGCCAGGGCUGUGAAACCCUCUUCCGGGCACUGCAGUUCCUGGCAUCUCCAAACUUCUGAGUGCCACCGCAUUCCCCGCGUCCGGAUGCAGGUCAAUGCACAGAAAGAAAUCUCUCUCCUGACUUUAGUACAAUGGCACGAUUGGUGGCCACAGUCCAAGGAUGGUUGCUGGGGCACCAAGAGAUUUCUGACAAAGGGCAUUAAAACUGAGAAAGUUUGGGAACCUCUGAAUGCUGUAGGACUUGCAUUUACGUUCUAACUGAGCUUGUUGGACACUGAAAUGGAGGAAGAAUCACAAGCCAUUUUCAAACCUGAUUAUGGCCUCCAGUUCCAUCCAUGUUGCUGCAGAAGCUAUAAUUUUAUUCUUUUGAAUGGUGAGUAGUAUUCCAUAUAUGUGUAUGUAUAUUAUAUAUAUAUGUGUGUGUGUGUGUAUGUAUAUAUAUAUGCCACAUUUUCAUCAUCCAUACCUCCUUUGAUGGAUACUUAGGUUGAUUCUAUAUCUUUGCUAUUGUGAGUAGUGUUAUGAUAAACAUACAAAUGCAGGUAUCUUUUUGAUAUAAUUAUUUAUUUCUUCUUAGGUACAUACUCAGUGGGAUUGUUUGGUUCAAUGAUAGUUCUGUUUUUAGUUAUUUGAGACAUUUCCAUACUGUUUUCCAUGAAAGCUGUACUAAUUUACAUUCCCACCAACAGUGUAUAAAUGUUCCCUUUCUUCCAAAACCUCAUUAACAUCUGUUGUUUUUUGACUUUUUAAUAAUAGAUAUUCUGACUGGUGUAAGAUGAUAUCUCCUUGUGGUUUUAAUUUACAUGUAUAUUAUGAUUAAUAAUGUUGAACAUUUUGUCAUAUAUUUCUUGUUGG